GCCGGUUGACAGCGAUGUAAUUUGUGUGCGGCAUUCAACAACAUUAACAAAGAACAACGUUAACAGGAGGAAGGAGGACGCUGUGAUCGGAGCGUGUUUUUGUUGUGUCUCGAGGGUUUCACAAUAAUGGAGAUGGAAUGUCGACGACAACUGGCAGUGCUACAUUUGCUACAAGUGCCUGCAUUUCAGCGUCCGUAUAAGUUUGAGGGAGACUAAGGCAGUUCCUGCCUGGGGGUUACUGUAUGUUAAUGUUAACCCCACUCUUCAGAAGAGAAUCACUCUUCAAUCACAGCUGUUUCUGGAGUGAAUUCAGACUAUAAAAGAACAACCAUCAGCUCCCAGACACCAACAUCUACUGAUGGACAUCUUCAAGCCACAGUCUGAUCCAAGUUUCUCAUUUGACUGAGGAAGUGAAAAACAGUAAAAAACAAACAAACAACAAACAAACAAAAAUAACUAGAAAGCAUUUUUACUGUUUUUUUACCUGGAUGAUGCGAUGGCAGCCACAGGCCAUUGGUGCCAGUGCGCUCACCACACACCAGCUACAGGUGGAGAGGAGAGAGAGAUAGAGCCAAUCAAGUGG
ensembl:lncRNA